rnacentral:tRNA from 1 species
AGCAGCAGUGGCUUAGGAGGUUAAGAGCUCAAAGGUAUCUAAUCUGGAGGAACUGGGUUUGAUUCCCAGCUCUGCCA